AACGAACGCUGGCGGCAGGCUUAACACAUGCAAGUCGAACGCCCCGCCCGGGGAGUGGCGGACGGGUGGGUAGCCCGUGGGGAUCUACCCAUCCCUACGGCCUACCGCAUGGUAACGUGUGCUAUUACCGUAUACGCCCUAAGGGGGAAAGAGUUAUCGGGGUUGGAUGAGGCCGCGUCGGAUUAGCUGGUUGGUGGGGUAAAGGCCUGCCAAGGCGACGAUCCAUAGCUGGGCUGAUUGGAUGAUAAGUCACAUUGGGACUGAGACACGGACCAAACUCCGACGGGAGGCAGCAGUGUGGAAUAUUGGACAAGGGGGGCAAGCCUGAUCAAGCCAUGCCGGGUGAGUGAGGAAGGCCGUAGUGUUGUAAAGCUCUUUCAGCGGAGAAGAUAAUGACGGUAUCCGGUGAAGAAGCCCCGGCUAACUUCGUG
rnacentral:rRNA from 1 species